rnacentral:misc_RNA from 1 species
AGGACAUCCAGAGUUCUCCUGAUGACAAAAAGGAGUUCCACAGUCCAUGCAGCGUGCAGAUUGUGUCGUAAGGAGCGGACCGGGUUUUGAUUCCUCCAUAACCUCUUUCCAGUCCUCCAUCCGAACAUUUGGAUCCCUGUAGGACACACCCUGUCGCUCAUAAGCAACAAAACCUCGAUGCUUGACUGCCUCAGCAACUUGGAUGGGCCUCUUCAAUGUCUGCUCCUCUUCAACCUGACUGGAUUCAUCCUUAGAUGCAGCUGCUAACU